GAUGGACAACAGGUUGAUAUUCCUGUACUACCGAUAACCGUUUGAGAGAAGGGAUGACACAGUAGGAUAAGCUAAGCACACUGUUGGUUAUGUGUGCCCAAGCAUUGAGGCAGUCAAAGUAGGCAAAUCCGCUUUGAUAAUGCUGGGAUGUGAUGGGGAGCGAAAUUUAGUAGCGAAGUAGCUGAUUUCACACUGUCAAGAAAAGUCUCUAUCGAGGUUAAAGGUACCCGUACCGCAAACCGACACAGGUGGGUGAGGAGAGUAUCCUAAGGCCAGCGAGAGAACUGUUGUUAAGGAACUCGGCAAAAUGACCCCGUAACUUAGGGAUAAGGGGUGCCACCAUCAGGUGGCCGCAGAGAAUAGGCCCAAGCGACUGUUUACCAAAAACAUAGGUUUCUGCUAAGUCGCAAGACGAUGUAUAGGAGCUGACGCCUGCCCGGUGCUGGAAGGUUAAGGGGAUCUGUUAGAGCAAUCGAAGCAGUGAACUUAAGCCCCAGUAAACGGCGGCCGUAACUAUAACGGUCCUAAGGUAGCGAAAUUCCUUGUCGGGUAAGUUCCGACCCGCACGAAAGGCGUAACGAUUUGGGCACUGUCUCAACAACAGACUCGGUGAAAUUGUAAUUCCGGUGAAGAUGCCGGAUACCUGCGACAGGACGGAAAGACCCCAUGGAGCUUUACUGUAGCUUGACAUUGGGU
rnacentral:rRNA from 1 species